rnacentral:lncRNA from 1 species
UGUGAUUUGGUAAUUGGGAGAUUUUAUACUUGUAAAAAGUUGGAGAGGAACUCCUGAAGGAAAAGAAGGAGUUCCCAGGAAUCUGCCUUAGAAAAGUAAUGAAUAAGCCUUUCUGUACCAAGGUAGGAUGAUACCUUGUCUGGGGGAACUCAGAGGUUAAGUGAUUAACCAGCCAGUAUGUGUAGAGGUAGGAUUUGAAUUCAAGUCUUCUUGAUUUGGCAGUCAACUCUAUCCACUAAAUUCACUGCCCUGCCUUUUAACAUAAUGCUAUAUACUUAAAAAAAAAAAUCCUUUUGGAGAAAGCUCUUGUGAGGACCGCUUGGGAAGAAUCUCUUGAGAGAGGCACUGGAGAAGGGAAGCUCUUGGAGGACAAUCUCUAAGGAGGUCUUGCUGGAGUUCCUCUGAGGGGACUCUGUCCCUCUAGAGGCUCUGGAGAGAGGCCCUUUGAAACAGUCUCUGGCUGGAAGGCUCUUUGAGGAGGACUCUGGCUGGAACUCUCUCUGGUGAAGUCAGCUGAGAUGGAGCUGGCUUGGUGUCCCUAGAAUCCUUGCUUAGACAGACCUUGUGGCUUCAAAAUUACAGCUGCAAGAACGGGGCUCAGUUAUGAAGACUGAUCUCAGAAUCACAGAAUCUCAGUUGGAAGUAGCUUGCCAUGGUUUGAGAAACCUCUAUAUUCCUGACCCAAUUUAGUCUACCAUUACCUGAUGGGAGCUUGUUGCUUGAACUAAUCCUGCAUAUGAAGACGGUUGCUUCAGCAAUCCUGCGUGUGAAUUAUUGGGAUUCUGGGGAAGAAGAACAGAUCCUGAGGACAAGAUGCAGAGAACACAAUUCCAAUUGAGCUCUGAGGCAAGAAUCUGGCCAAUAGAAAAGCUUCUGGAAGGACCAGGGGAGUUUUAUCCUUUUGACUCUGGACAUUGGGGUCCUUGA